ensembl:lncRNA
CUGGGAACUGCUAUACCAUACACAGUAAUUAGCAAGUAUACAAAACAACAAGCUCAUCAAACGUGAGCUUACAACCUAUGGACAGAUGUAUGUUGUGGGUGGAGACAAAGGCAGCUAAUUAUUAGUAAUUAUUCCUGCUGCAACCAUGCCUAGGAACAACCUUUGGUCUUGUUUCAGGGCCAUGUUGUCUUGGCACUUGUAAACAGAAAAGAAACAAGUCAAAGACUAAAUAUAACUGGGUGGCUAAAAGUAGAUCAGGAAAGCAGGGAAGCAAGUGGUGUUUAUUACUCAGCUAUGACAGCACCUGCAGGCUUGUGUUUGAAAAGAGUAUGGAGAGCAUCUGCACCUCCAACAGCACCUGGAGCAACUGCAAGCAAGCAGGCUUAGCUGUGAAGGAAGGGAGCAGGCACGACACAACAGUGACACUGCUUGGCAGCAAGGAACAGAGAGGAGCUGAACCAGGACCCUCCGAAUGACAGCUGUGCUGACAAGCAGUCCUUGGAAGUGUGCGAGGAAAUGAUACGUGCCUGGCAGUCUUGCUGCUGCUCCUCCACUGCUGUGCCCUCUGUGCUGAAGAUCAUAAUGAAAUCCUAAGCAGGCAGAGAACCUCCUAAAAACAUUUCACCUUUUGCACCAUCCAUGCAGAGAUGUCUGUGGCUUUUUCCACAUGAAGUUGCUGGCAACAAAAAUGAGCUUCGUGACAGGAAGGAGGAGUUUGCUUGAACAAAAGCAGUGAAUGGCAC